UACAGGGGGUGCAAACGUUGCUCGGAAUUAUUGGGCGUAAAGCGCACGUAGGCGGUCACUUAGGUCGCAUGUGAAAGCCCUUUGGCUCAACCAAGGAAGUGCACGCGAAACCGAGUGGCUGGAGUGUUGGAGGGGGUGAUGGAAUUCCCGGAGUAGAGGUGAAAUGCGCAGAUAUCGGGAAGAACACCCGUGGCGAAGGCGGCUUCUGGGACGGUACUGACGCUGAGACGCGAAAGCGUGGGGAGCGAACAGG
rnacentral:rRNA from 1 species